UCUCUAGCAGUCAUUAGGCAGUUGGCUUCCUUUACUAUUUUGCAACAGAUCUGCAAACUGAGCAGAUCUGAACUGAAUUAGUGUCUUCAGUUGAAACUGGGAUAUUUUCCUUAUUAUUAUGUUCAUAAUUUGACUUCUGCUUUGUGAAGGUAUUUCUUUUUUCGGUAUUCUGGAGAUGUUGAUAUUUAGUUAAAGAAAGUAGGUAUUAGUACAGUAAAGUGCAGACAGGGCUGCUUCUGCAUUGCUUGUGCUGUACUAAUAGCUGUAAUGCCAGAGAAUGUCUGGAAAAACUAACUCAAGCAAUCUCAGUUGAACUAGCCAAGACAGGUUACCAUUGCUGAAAACACUAGCGACUUAUGCCCUCAUACAGACAGACACUAGGAUUGGUGAAUUUCAAUCCUGUCUCUAUUUCAGAGUGUAAACUAAGCCACAGGGACUACUAAACACUUGCACCUCAAACACUACUGAAGAAGUGGAGCUGCAUGUGUAGACAAAGGUGUGUGAGGGGGAGGUUGCCACCCCACUUGCGUGCUGAGAGAAGUUCUCCUUUAACAAGAGAAGAUGAAUGCCUUGUCUAAAGCAAAGCUGUGCUUCUUCCUCUGUGCUGCUUAAGUAAAGCAGCAAUGUUAAAAUUGAAAGAGGAGCCUGACCAGCAAAAAUACCGGUGAUACUCAGCACAUACAAGCAGUUGGCAAGGUGUAUGAAAUGACCAUCUGUUUCAGUGCUGAGCAUCAGUCUCUGUUGCUUGCCAUGUCAAAACAACAAUAGGAUUCAACACUGGAGUUACUUUGUGCUUAUAUCCAUGUGUCCAUUUGUGGUAAGACCAAUUCUCAGAGAGGCACAAGAUUGCAAUUUAAUGUAUAGUAUAGAUAUGGUUUGGUUUACUGAAAACCACCCACUCAUUCGCAGCAAGAAGCCCCUCAUAAAAUUUUCUCUUAACUGAUUAUCUCCUGUUUGCGAUAAUAUUGCUGUUCAAUUGCAUGCAUCUCUCUGCCCUUGUAAGGUAGCACUUCAGUGAGCAAGCUAAACUACAUAUUACUCCUGUGAGCAGACCACAGCUGGGAGCUCCAAUUCUUCUAAAGCAGCUCAGCUUGUAGCACUUCUGUAAAAUGCAGACUUUGUUAUGGUUACAGUAAAAUAUUAAUAAUCUUAAAAUCCCUGGAUACGGGUACAGACCUAAUAAACCUGCUAUUGACAACGUAUGGCAGACUACUGUGUGAUGGAGCUGUAAUAAAAUGACUUGUAGUCUGGCCAUUCCUGUGCUGUAGAUUUUAGUUAGAUCUGCAAGUGCAUGCAAACAGUUAAAAUGCAUUUCUGAUUGGAAUCAGAAUCAGGUAUUUGGCAAGGUUUAUGCUUCCUGAUCUAACAUUUUCAGUGGGUGGAGAAAAUUAUCUCCCUAUUGCUUUGUCAUUAUUCCUUAAAUGAACAAUGUAUUCUAUUUUUUUUUCAUUUAAGUGGGAUGAAUUGUGGCUUUUUAUUGUUCCCUAUUUUUCUGAAUAAAUAGUUCAGUAAAACUGCUAAUGUCGAUGAUAGAA